rnacentral:lncRNA from 10 species
CCGGGUCACUGCGGAGCCCGGGUCACUGCGGAGCCCGGUGCACGGAGUGGGAGUAGGGCUGCGGCGGGCGCAGCCAAGCGGCUCCGCUGCGCCGGUUAAAACAUUCUCCCAGGGGGCAUCUCUCUGUCCUUGGCCAGAUGGUCUCGACACGUGCGGGCACCUCUAACCCAGGCUCUCGCUCUGUUGACCAGGCUGGAGUGCAGUGGCGCUACCACAGCUCACUGCAGCCUUGACCUCCCAGGCUCAAGCAAUCCUCCACCUCAGCCUUGCAAGCAGAUGGGACUAUAGGACAGUGGCAUACUAUCACAUCUAUCAAAGAAAAUGUGAAAAGUGCCUGAAAUGUGCUACUGAUCAACCAAUAGCAGUGAAAACUCACAUAUGGUACACAUUCCAUUUGGAUCACAAAAGCAAAGCCAAACAUCUCGGUAAGUGGGAGGAAGUAACUGAUGAACUGACUAAAGGAAAAACAGAGACUCUGGGCUUGGUCAUGUGACUUACUUCAGUCAAUGGGACAUUAGCAAGAAUAAUAAAGCAGGAGUUUGAUAAGAAUUUGUACAUUUUGGCUUAUCAUCUUAAAAUAUUCUUGGAAGCCAGAUGCAAUAAGAAGUCCAGCCACCCUAAGACCACUAUAUGUGAGGAAACCCAAGCUAGUCAUGUGGAAAAAACAUGUAAACAGAGGGAUGCCUGGCUAGUCUCCAGCUUAGUCAUGGGAGUGAAGAAGCCACUUUGGAUGUUCCAGCCUUGGAAGAUACUUCCUGGAACCGAAGAAACACCUUGCUGAGCCCAGCACAGACUGCAGAAUCAUGAGAAAUAAUAGUUGGUUUAAGCCACUACAUUUUGGAGUGGUUUGUUAUAUAACUAAAACAAGCAAUGAUAGAAAAGUCUAGCAAACCAAUUAGUUAUUUGUAAGAAGUAAAAAUGUUAUAGAAACCUAAUAUUUAUACUCUUUGAACUGUUACAUGUGCUCCAUUCUGAUUUUAUACAACUUUAAAUGCUUAAUUCUCAAAUUACCUUACUCUUAGGGUCCUCUUCAUAUGUUUUUGUUUUAGGUUGCAAUGGAGGUGAAAUAGUGGCUUGUAUUUGAGGAGACUGAAAUUUAGGCCUACUUUUAGGUUGCUGCUCUUCAAAUUCCUGACUGAAUCCUUCAGGAAGUGCAUCUUAAAAUAAAAGAAACUAUGCUGAAAAUAAACAGGCAUAUGAUACAUAAAACACACAAAUAUUUGUUAAGCAUUUGUAAACCUUGCCUAGACUUAGAGCACCUAAUUUUCUUCUAUUCCCUCAUCUCCUAAGAAUAGAAAUCUUAAGAUGAACCUGGUUUUAUCCGUCAACCUAGAAGUGAACGUACUCAUCAGAUGAUAGCUAGCCCUCUUGUAUUUGGCCAUUAUUUCACCCUCAAUGUUAGGCUCCUAAAUUGUCAUAAGAUCUUAAUCCUUCCCACUCUUUGGCUUUCUGUCACAGCAUGUGGUAGUAUCCUUAGUCACCACAAGCCAUUUGCACUCCAGAUUCUUGCCAAAGAUUACAAUCAUGAUCCUCUGCUUAAUAAAAUACUAUAUAUUCAAGGACAGUCCUAAUUUCUAAAUGAAAAGCCAGGAGACAUAGCUUACUGAGAGGCAAACCUUGUAUUAAGGACAUAGCAAAAUAACAAUCAACAACUGAACACAAAACAUAAUAUUUUCUUGCAUAGGCCACAAUCUCUAAGGAAAAUAUCCUGAAAAGAACAGAAGGUAAGAACACUUUAAAAGUAAAUAAUUAUGACAGUGAAAAAAUAUGAGUAUGAGCCAAAAGGUUGAUACAAAUACCAAAACUACUUCAAAAGGUUUAGAAACUGAAAGAAUUUAAUGAUAUUGUUUACCAUCUGAAAGGUUUAAACAGAGCCAAUCCAAGGCAGAAUGAAGGUCACCUCCAUAUAAGAGUGUAUUGGUCAUGGCAUCUUCAAUGUCCUUUGUCUUAAAUGAAAAUGCUUGUAAAGCCAUGUAUAAAUCCUAUGACAAGCA